AUUGAACGCUGGCGGCAUGCUUUACACAUGCAAGUCGAACGGUAACAGGGAGCUUGCUCCGCUGACGAGUGGCGAACGGGUGAGUAAUAUAUCGGAACGUACCCAGAAGUGGGGGAUAACGUAGCGAAAGUUACGCUAAUACCGCAUACGAUCCACGGAUGAAAGUAGGGGACCUUCGGGCCUUAUGCUUUUGGAGCGGCCGAUAUAUGAUUAGCUAGGUGGUGAGGUAAAGGCUCACCCAGGCGACGAUCAGUAGCUGGUCUGAGAGGACGACCAGCCACACUGGAAGUGAGACACGGUCCAGACUCCUACGGGAGGCAGCAGUGGGGAAUUUUGGACAAUGGGCGCAAGCCUGAUCCAGCAAUGCCGCGUGAGUGAAGAAGGCCUUCGGGUUGUAAAGCUCUUUUGUCAGGGAAGAAACGGCUGUGGCUAAUAUCCACGGCUAAUGACGGUACCUGAAGAAUAAGCACCGGCUAACUACGUGCCAGCCGCCGCGGUAACAC
rnacentral:rRNA from 1 species